UACGUAGGAUGCAAGCGUUGUCCGGAUUUACUGGGCGUAAAGGGCGCGUAGGCGGCGUGACAAGUCAGUUGUGAAAUCUCCGGGCUUAACUCGGAAAGGUCAACUGAUACUGUGCGACUAGAGUGCGGAAGGGGCAACUGGAAUUCUUGGUGUAGCGGUGAAAUGCGUAGAUAUCAAGAGGAACACCUGCGGCGAAGGCGGGUUGCUGGGCCGACACUGACGCUGAGGCGCGAAAGCCAGGGGAGCGAACGGG
rnacentral:rRNA from 1 species